CCUCUGAUUUUAAUGCAAGAUUCUCAAUUGACAUUUUCAGUGGAAAAACCUUGUUUGGAGUCAUUUUAAUUUUGGCCACAACUUGAUUAUUUUUUUCAUUAAUAAUUGUACUUUCAUUUCCCACAAAAUUAACUCUAUAGCCUUUUUGUAAUAAUUGUCCCACACUUAAUAAAUUUUAUGUUAGGUCCGGUACAUAAAGCACAUCAGAAAUAAAAUUAGUC
rnacentral:lncRNA from 1 species